AGUGAACGCUGGCGGUAGGCCUAACACAUGCAAGUCGAACGGCAGCACAGUAAGAGCUUGCUCUUACGGGUGGCGAGUGGCGGACGGGUGAGGAAUACAUCGGAAUCUACUUUUUCGUGGGGGAUAACGUAGGGAAACUUACGCUAAUACCGCAUACGACCUACGGGUGAAAGCAGGGGAUCUUCGGACCUUGCGUGAUUGAUUGAGCCGAUGUCGGAUUAGCUAGUUGGCGGGGUAAAGGCCCACCAAGGCGACGAUCCGUAGCUGGUCUGAGAGGAUGAUCAGCCACACUGGAACUGAGACACGGUCCAGACUCCUACGGGAGGCAGCAGUGGGGAAUAUUGGACAAUGGGCGCAAGCCUGAUCCAGCCAUACCGCGUGGGUGAAGAAGGCCUUCGGGUUGUAAAGCCCUUUUGUUGGGAAAGAAAAGCAGCAGGUUAAUACCCCGCUGUUCUGACGGUACCCAAAGAAUAAGCACCGGCUAACUUCGUG
rnacentral:rRNA from 1 species